UGGCUCGGGGGCCGCCGGGCUGAGCGCUGCGGGGCGAAGGAGCGACCCGGCCCGAUCCCGGUCCUCGUCCUUAUCCCGAUCCUGAUCCCGAUCGCGAACCCGCGGCCUGGCCCGGCCCGGCUGCCCCGGCCAUGCUGUCGUGGGGAGCGGCGGGCGGGCGGACGCUGCGCUGGGCGAGCGGGCGGGUACCGAGCCGCGGGCUCCGCGCUUCUCCGCGGGCGCGGAUCGCCAUGCCCAGCUGGGUCAUAGACCGGUACGGCAGCAACGAGGUGCUGCGCUUCACCAGGGAGAUGAUGUUCCCCAUCAUACACUUCCCGAACGAGGUCAUCAUUAAGGUUCACGCUGCGAGCCUGAACCCCAUCGACCUCAGCAUGAGAAGUGGUUAUGGCGCGACUGCAUUAAAUAUGAAGCGGGAUCCCCUGAAGCUCAAAAGCGGCGAGACUGAAUUUCCUCUAACGCUUGGUCGAGAUGUCUCUGGUGUUGUUAUGGAAUGUGGACUGGGUGUGUCUUAUUUCAAACCCGGAGAUGAGGUGUGGGCAGCAAUUCCCCCAUGGAAACAAGGCACUCUGUCAGAGUUUGUGGUAGCUAGUGGAAACGAGGUAUCUUUUAAGCCCAAGUGUCUCAGUCACACAGAAGCUGCUGCCUUACCAUAUGUUGGUCUCACUGCGUGGUCUGCACUUAACCAAGUGGGAGGACUGAACCAAAGUAAUUGUAGUGGGAAAAGAAUAUUAAUAUUAGGAGCUUCAGGAGGAGUUGGUACAUUUGCUGUACAGCUAAUGAAGGCCUGGGAUGCUCAUGUGACAGCAGUUUGCUCUCAUGAUGCCAGCACACUGGUGAAAAAGCUUGGAGCAGAUGAUGUGAUUGAUUAUAAGUCUGGAAAUCUGGAAGAGCAGCUUAAAACAUUACCCUUGUUUGAUUUUAUCCUAGAUAAUGUUGGUGGAUCCACUGAGAAGUGGGCACUAGAUCUCUUGAAGAAAUGGUCAGGAGCAACAUAUGUUACUUUAGUGACACCUUUCCUGAUCAAUAUGGACAAACUUGGAGUGGCUGAUGGCAUGUUGCAAACAGGAGUCACUGUCGGCUCCAAAACUCUAAAGCACCUCCUUAAAGGAGUCCAUUAUCGGUGGGCAUUUUUCAUGCCAAGUGGCCCAAGUUUGGAUGAAAUAGCAGAAUUGGUUGAUUCUGGAAAGACACAAGAGUUCUCAUAAAAGGACAGACCAUCCAUUCAGAAGAGUAGGUGUUUGGGAAAAAAGGCAGGAGAGAAUCACUGGAGAAAUUGUACCACAAUUUCCUAUAAAUGGACAUCUUGCAAAGAAACUAUUCCAAGACUGAGGGGCUGGGAGGCUGCUGCAACAAUUAUGGGCAUGGAGAAAACCCAGUAUUUCCUUGACAAAUUUUAGAGAGACUGGCUAUUUUCUAAACUGCUGGAGAAUCCCUGUUGUGUUUUGAAGUGCAGCAGUAAAUUAUGACCCAGUAAGGAAUGGCUUAAUGUGGGCUCCACCAUAUGAGUUGACGAAGCCCGUGUCAGAAGCUCUGUCUCUUUCCAUGGUAGAAUGUUCCUGGUGAAUUACAAUUCUCAUCUUAAGACAGCAGAAAUCAACAGAACCCUUAAUUCAGGGCACAGAUCUGCUGGCACAUUGUUCAGUGAAGCAUCAUCACUGAAAGUCUCAUGGUCAGUGGUCAGUGUUGUGGAUUUAACAUUGACAGUUUUGGUUUUUGCUGCAUGCCCAGCAUUUUCCUCCUAAGGACAUAUCAUAUAGUCCUUGCUGAAAACAGGGCAAAUUCAUAUUCAACCAGUUAUUGAUGAAGUCUUCCCAUUUUCUGAAGUUCCAGAGGCCUUUCUGAAGUUGGAAGGAGGACAUGCACGUGGAAAAACAGUGAUCAAUGUAAUUAGUAGACAAUAAAGUAUCUCUAAUCUC